UACGUAGGAGGCGAGCGUUGUCCGGAAUUACUGGGCGUAAAGAGCGUGUAGGCGGCCAGAUAGGUCAGCUGUGAAAACUCGAGGCUCAACCUCGAGACGUCGGUUGAAACCAUCUGGCUAGAGUCCGGAAGAGGAGAGUGGAAUUCCCGGUGUAGCGGUGAAAUGCGCAGAUAUCGGGAAGAACACCCGUGGCGAAGGCGGCUCUCUGGGACGGUACUGACGCUGAGACGCGAAAGCGUGGGGAGCAAACAGG
rnacentral:rRNA from 1 species